CAGUAGCCGCGGUAAUACGAAGGGGGCUAGCGUUGCUCGGAAUCACUGGGCGUAAAGGGUGCGUAGGCGGGUCUUUAAGUUAGGGGUGAAAUCCUGGAGCUCAACUCCAGAACUGCCUUUGAUACUGAAGAUCUUGAGUUCGGGAGAGGUGAGUGGAACUGCGAGUGUAGAGGUGAAAUUCGUAGAUAUUCGCAAGAACAACAGUGGCGAAGGCGGCCAUCUGGGACAACACUGACGCUGAGGCACGUAAGCGUGGGGAGCAAACAGGAUUAGAUACCCCCGUAGUCCCUGUCUCUUAUAC
rnacentral:rRNA from 1 species